AGUGCACAGCUGAACUGUAACUGUUGCAAACAUCUGGAGUGGAUGAGAUGGGAAAGGAGACCCGCAGUGAUUGUGGAUUCUGGGGAAGAUGGACCAGUGGUGGUGUGGUAGAUAGGUUGGGAGUCUGGAUGCCUGCGUGAGCUUUUGUGCAUCUCACACAUGCAGUAGCCCAUGGGAGCCAGAAGAAGGUGCCAGGUCCCUCGGAACUGGAGUCCUAGGUGAUUGUGAGCCACCACGUGUGCACCGGGAACUGAACCCAGGCCGUCUGCAAGAGCAAUAAACCAUCUUAACCGCGGCGUCAUCUCUCCAGCCCCGACUUUAAGUAAAUUAUUGAUGACCUUCCCAAACAGAAUGUACUAGGUCCAGAUGGGUUGGGUGAAUUCUGGGUGAAUUCUUCCAAGCAGUGAAGGAGGAAAAAUAUAUCAGUUCUCUGUAAUGUCUGUCAGAGGAUGAGCUUAGAAGGAACACUUCUUGAUCCACACUAGGAGCCCAGCAUCACCCUAAGAACAAACGAGGAGAAGGUACUUCAGUAAAUGGAAGCAACAAAAGCCCAUGAACACAGAUCCAGACAGCCUCAACGACAAGCUACUCGCAAGCUGAAUCUAAUGAUGCAUGAAAGGAAAAACAUACCAUAACCAAGUGGGACGGAUGCCAGAUAAGAACGGCCAUCCAACAUUCAAAAAUAAGCUCCUAUAAUCCAGUGUUUGUUAUGAAGGUCUGGGAACACCCCCACCACGCUGUGUAGCAUUCAGAGGAUUCUCCAUCUCUUUAGAACAGCGAUCCUCACCCCACACCUCUUUCAUCUUGAGCACUGCUGGCUCCCAGCCUUCUGCCUUUGGCCUGAGAUUGCUGUGGAGUUGCAACCCAGCUGAUUUCUUCCUGCCUGCUCUCGGGGCCAGACUGACGUGCACGCCGAACACUUCAGUGCUCAAGUCAACUUUGCUGUGUCAAUCUGCCGGAGCCUAGUCCCAGGUUCGAAGCCAGAUGGGAAUGGCAAGUUCAAGGAGAAAUAUAAUUCCGAGAGCUCUGAAUGCUGGAUGAAAACGAGAGUCUUUAACUUAAAGUAAGAUUUUCAACAAAUAACUGUUUUGUUUUGUUUGUUUGUUUUAGAUGAGGACUCAAGUAGCUCAGGCUGGCCUUGAACUCCCUAUGGAGUUAAGGAUGACCUUGAAUUCCUUCGGCCUUCCUCCACCUACCUCCUAAGUUGCUGGGAUCACAGGCAUGUGCUACUAUACCCAACAAUUAUGAAUAAAAUGUUUUUUUAUUGCU
rnacentral:lncRNA from 1 species